CAACUGUUCAAGUUUCCAUACCAGCAGUGGAAGAGUGUUCUCCUUACUCUACAUCCUUGACAGCAUGAGCUGUCAUUUGUUGUAUUGAUCUUAGCUACUCUACCUGGUGUUCAGCACUUUUUUUAUGUAGAAGUCUGAUUAUUUUGGAGUUCAGUUUUGUGCAAGGUGAUAUAUAUGUAUUUACUUGGAUUCAUCUACAUGCAGCCAUGGUGCCUGACCAACAACAUUUCUUGAAGAUGCUGUCCCUGUUUCAAGACUGCUGUGGUGUAUGUUCUCCCAAGACCAUCUUGCCCCAAUGAUGCUGAUUUCCCUCAAGAGCAUGGCUUUGGUGGCCACCACAGGCCUCCACUGAAGAUAUAUUUGCCCUGUCUGUGUAGGAGAAAGACUUUGUUGUGGGCUUUAACAAGACCAAUGACCUCUUUGGAAGUGAAAAAGCCUGGUUCCAGACCACACAGCCUGACUCACUAACCUAAUACAGUGUGUAUUGAAUUCAGCACAUCAAUGGCAAUGAUGCCCUACUGGGGAAGAGGUCGAGGCAUAAGGAAACUUGCCCCUUCCCUUUGUUUCCACAGUGUUUUUCUUCCAGUGUGAAAUAAAGAAAUGAGGCCUUCAUUA